UUAGCAGCUGCACAAAGGCUUCAUCUAGAAUCCAGUAUUUUGCUCAGCAGGCUGCAGUGAAGUGGCUACCAAACAGCUGGCUCUGACCUCAGCACAGCCCUUCCAGAAGCAGGAGAUAUUCCAAAUUGUGGUUUGAGCUGAGGUAGUUUCCAGCACACGUACGGGCAGAGUCCAUGGUUUGGAGGAGAUGUAGAAAAUCUUCAGGGUCAGAAAAACUGAGAAUAAAGAUUAAAACACAUGUCUGGUAUCAUCCCAGCAGCAUGAAGCAUGGAAGGAUUCCUGAAACCGUUUGAAACAAGACAUACUGGAAUUCCCUAUUAGCAGAUAUCAGAACUGAAAUUCCAGAGCUCCAGAGGGGCAACCAGAAAUGAAUGCAGUAAAUUCCACUGUUACCUACAGAGACAGAUGUUUAAAAUGGCCACAUACACACAUAUGUAUAGGUAUAAAUGUUGCUUAUUCUAGAAUCAUCACCAUCAGAUGCCAUCUAUUCCAGAAAUAUCUACUAACAAAAUAGCACGAGUUCAUCAGCAAAAUUUAGGGGAUACUUUCAAAUAUCUGCUUGGCUUUAGCACCAUGGAUUUUCUGGUAUUUAAUGAAGUAGAGUUUUCCUUACAGUUCUGCCAGGGAAAAUCAACUGAAGGAAUGGAAAUUGUAACCUUAAAGGCAUUCGUUCAGGGCUUGGUUAAUUUCACUAUUUUCUUAUUCUUUCCUGACAAUUUUUACAAUGCAAGUCUGCAACAAAACAAAAGCAGCUUUAAUGGUAAGAAUAAAGACUACAUAAAACAACAAAUUUUCCCUGAAGCAGCUUCCCCAAGCCUUGUUUAAACUUCAUUUCUCCAUGUAUGGCUUUUUAAUAGGAUUUAACAGAACUAGCAGUACUUUUCCAUCCUGAAAUUCUCCCUAAAUUUCCCUGGGUUGCCUAGGAUUACAGUGUUAGAAGGGCACCAUGAGUUUCUGCAGACAGCUCUUUCCCCAAAGUAAAUUCUCCAUUCUCCAAUUUUACAUUUCUCCAUGGUAAAAUCUCAGAAAAAUGACAAUCACUAUUACAAAAAUCAUACAGGUUUGUUACACUGAGGAAAUUAAUUAAGUGGGAAAAAGCUUCCACAAGGUAAAAGUCAACAUAAAAUUAGUACCAUCUCUGGCGAUGCAGGGUGGAAACAAAACAGGUCUCUUUUCCCUGAUUCUGCUAUAACUUAGAGAAAAUAUAGUGGUUCUUUAGCCAUAGCUCUUACUAAAGGACCUAACUCCAACUUAUACCUAAGAUGCUUUAUGCCCACAUGACAUAACAAAUUUUGAAGUAGCCUAGACUGAGAGAAAAGUGCCCACUGCUUGGUGAUGCAGUCAUGCAGCCUUGGAAUGCCUUCACUGGAUUUGUUAAUGGAAAGCCCUGACUGGAGGAAUGCAGGUGUAGAACACUAUCGAUCCCCUACUACAAAAAAAAAAAAAAAAAAAAAAAAAAAAAAAAAAAAAACAGGAUUAAA